CCAACACUGUGGUGCACUCGUCUGCAGUCAUCAGAUGGAAAAUAAAACAAACAAACAAGCUUGGUUACUGUAAUGGCCUUUACCCUGCCGUCGAAAGUCUUUCAUUUAGUGAAUACUGUACAUCUAAUCAUAGUUGUGCUGAUAAGUUUGCAUACCCUAGCAGAAUAUGUCAAUUAUUGACAAUUUUUCGGAGGAUAUGACUGAUGACUGAAUAGGGACCUUAGAGUUUUCUUCAUUACUAUCCUUCCGAGAAUAGCAGCAUAACAUGAGUAAUCGAUGCCAUGCCUGAAAAUCUUAUUAUAACUGCCUAAAUGCCCUGAAAGUAAGUGUGUGUGUGUGUGUGUGUGUGUGUGCGUGUGUCCAAGACUCGUAACUUCCACUAACAAUCCAGACUAAACUUAGCUAUACUCCCCAACAUAGACACGGAUCUUAGCCUAGGUGUAUCCCUUCAACUGUACUUCCUUGACACCAGUUACUACUUUCCUACUAGCCAGGAGUUUGGCACCAUCUUGUGGCACCUGAAAGAAACAGUACCAAAUAUAUGAAUAACUUACGAUAGGUGUCUGGGGGGG